rnacentral:rRNA from 1 species
UACGAAGGGGGCUAGCGUUGCUCGGAAUCACUGGGCGUAAAGCGCACGUAGGCGGAUCUUUAAGUCAGAGGUGAAAUCCCAAGGCUCAACCUUGGAACUGCCUUUGAUACUGGGGAUCUCGAGUCCGGAAGAGGUGAGUGGAACUCCUAGUGUAGAGGUGGAAUUCGUAGAUAUUAGGAAGAACACCAGUGGCGAAGGCGGCUCACUGGUCCGGUACUGACGCUGAGGCGCGAAAGCGUGGGGAGCAAACAGG